UACGUAGGGGGCCAGCGUUGCUCGGAAUUACUGGGCGGAAAGGGUUCGUAGGUGGUGCGGCAAGUUGGGCGUGAAAUCUCUGGGCUUAACUCAGAGGCUGCUUUCAAAACUGCCGCGCUCGAGUACGAGAGAGGUCAGUGGAAUUGCAGGUGUAGCGGUGAAAUGCGUAGAUAUCUGCAGGAACACCCGUGGCGAAGGCGGCUGACUGGAUCGCAACUGACACUGAGGAACGAAAGCUAGGGGAGCAAACAGG
rnacentral:rRNA from 1 species